rnacentral:siRNA from 1 species
UUCGUCCAGGUUGCAAAUUGC